GUACAGAGUUUCAUAUAAAUACAUGCAAGUAUGUGUGAGCUAUGGUUCAAGAUUUCUGACUGUGUUCCAGGGGGCGCCAUAGAGCCCCUGUGCCACGCCCGGGUCCCAGCCUCUGCGGCGUCCUGAUGGCCGCAGGUUCCAAUGUGUGUGCCAAUUUUCAAGAGUUUUUGAGUAUGUUAAGGCCCCUAAAAACCCCCGGAAGGUUUAAAAAAAAAAUAAAAAAAAUAAUAAUAAAUAUAGCUGCAAGCAGCGAUGGCGGGCCCGAGCCGUCAGCGCAAACGCCACCCCGGUGGCAUCAGGAAAAGCUGUGCCCAGCGGCACAUACACAGUAACCCGUCUAGCUCAGGGGUGUCCAACUCUGUUAAUGGCGAUCGACUGUCCUGUAAAGUUUAGCUCCAACCCUACUCAAACACACCUGAACCAACUAAUGAAUGUCUUCAGGAUUGCUUGAAAAUUAAAG
ensembl:lncRNA